rnacentral:misc_RNA from 1 species
UUAAAUCUGUUUUUACUUCAGACACAAGCUAAACGGCAUAGAUUCGGCGCCUCUGGGCGCCGAAACACAUCUCACUUCCACAGGUUUGAGGGGGAUGAUGGAUCCAAUUGGGGCCCAAAUUCGUUAAUGAUCCCUCCGCAGGUUCACCUACGGAGA